rnacentral:rRNA from 1 species
AGAGUUUGAUCCUGGCUCAGAACGAACGCUGGCGGCGCGUUUUAAGCAUGCAAGUUUAAGGGGUUAUUUUUAGCAAUAGAAGUAAUCACUGGCGUACGGGUGAGUAACACGUGAGAACCUGCCUUGAGAUGGGGGAUAACCGAUAGAGAUAUCGGAUAAUACCGCAUAUGCCGAGAGGUGAAAGCUGCUUUUGUAGCGUCUUGAGAUGGUCUUGCGUCCAAUUAGUUAGUUGGUGGGGUAAAAGCUUACCAAGGCGACGAUUGGUAGCCGGCCUGAGAGGGUGAUCGGCCACAUUGGGACUGAGACACGGCCCAGACUCCUACGGGAGGCAGCAGCUAAGAAUAUUCCGCAAUGGGAGCAAUCCUGACGGAGCGACGCCGCGUGAACGAUGAAGGCAGAAAUGUUGUAAAGUUCUUUUUAACGGGAAGAAUAAGUAUAGUGAGAGAAACGCUAUAUGAUGACGGUACCGUUAGAAUAAGUCACGGCUAACUACGUGCCAGCAGCCGCGGUAAUACGUAGGUGACAAGCGUUGUUCGGAUUCAUUGGGCGUAAAGGGCAUGUAGGCGGUAUAAUAAGUGUGAAUUGAAAGACCGGGGCUUAACCCCGAGUUUGGUUUGCAAACUGUUAUACUAGAGUAUGGGAGAGGAGACUGGAAUUCCGUGUGUAGGGGUGAAAUCUGUAGAUAUGCGGAAGAAUACUUAUGGCGAAGGCAAGUCUCUGGCCUGUAACUGACGCUGAAAUGCGAAAGUGUGGGGAGCAAACAGGAUUAGAUACCCUGGUAGUCCACACUGUAAACGUUGUACACUAGGUGUUAGAGGAUAGAACCUCUGGUACCGAAGCAAACGCGUUAAGUGUACCGCCUGGGGAGUAUGCUCGCAAGGGUGAAACUCAAAGGAAUUGACGGGGGCCCGCACAAGCGGUGGAGCAUGUGGUUUAAUUCGAUUGUACGCGAAAAACCUUACCUGGGCUUGACAUACAUUUGACUGAGGCAGAGAUGUCUUUUUCUCUUCGGAGACAGAUGUACAGGUGCUGCAUGGCUGUCGUCAGCUCGUGUUGUGAGAUGUUGGGUUAAGUCCCGCAACGAGCGCAACCCUUACUAUUAGUUGCCAUCUGGGUAAUGCCAGGGCACUCUAUUAGAACUGCCAGUGACAAACUGGAGGAAGGUGGGGAUGACGUCAAGUCCUCAUGGCCCUUAUGUCCAGGGCUACACACGUGCUACAAUGGGCUGUACAAAGGGUCGCAAUCUCGCGAGAGGGAGCCAAUCCCAAAAAAGCAGUCCGUAGUUCAGAUUGGAGUCUGCAACUCGACUCCAUGAAGUUGGAAUCGCUAGUAAUCACAGAUCAGCAUGCUGUGGUGAAUACGUUCCCGGGCCUUGUACACACCGCCCGUCACACCACCCGAGUCGAAAGUACCCGAAGUUGUUACCCUAACCGUAAGGAGGGGGGCACCUAAGGUAAGUUUGGUGAGGGGGGUGAAGUCGUAACAAGGUA